rnacentral:rRNA from 1 species
GACGAACGCUGGCGGCGCGCUUAACACAUGCAAGUCGAACGGAAAGGCCUGCUUUCCCUUGUGGAUUGCGGGUACUCGAGUGGCGAACGGGUGAGUAACACGUGAGUGAUCUGCCCCCAACUUGGGUAUAAGCCUGGGAAACUGGGUCUAAUUCCCGAUAGGACUGCAGGGUGGUGCCUGUGGUGGAAAACGAUUUUCUAGUGGUUGGGGAUGAGCUCGCGGCCUAUCAGCUUGUUGGUGGGGUAAUGGCCUACCAAGGCGGCGACGGGUAGCCGGCCUGAGAGGGUGGACGGCCACAUUGGGACUGAGAUACGGCCCAGACUCCUACGGGAGGCAGCAGUGGGGAAUAUUGUACAAUGGGCGGAAGCCUGAUGCAGCGACGCCGCGUGGGGGAUGACGGCCUUCGGGUUGUAAACUCCUUUCGACCGCGAGGAAGCCACCUGGUUGGAAGGGUGGUGACGGUAGUGGUAGAAGAAGCACCGGCUAACUACGUG